rnacentral:rRNA from 1 species
UACAGAGGUCUCAAGCGUUGUUCGGAUUCAUUGGGCGUAAAGGGUGCGUAGGCGGCGCGGUAAGUCGGGUGUGAAAUCUCGGGGCUUAACUCCGAAACUGCAUUCGAUACUGCCGUGCUUGAGGACUGGAGAGGAGACUGGAAUUUACGGUGUAGCGGUGAAAUGCGUAGAUAUCGUAAGGAAGACCAGCGGCGAAGGCGAGUUCCUGGACAGUUACUGACGCUGAGGCACGAAGGCCAGGGGAGCAAACGGG